rnacentral:tRNA from 2 species
GCCCAGGUGGCGAAACUGGUAGACGCACAGGACUUAAAAUCCUGCGGACCUUUAAAAUCCGUGCCGGUUCGAUUCCGGCCCUGGGCACCA